rnacentral:rRNA from 1 species
AAAAGAAACCAACCGGGAUUGCCUUAGUAACGGCGAGUGAAGCGGCAAAAGCUCAAAUUUGAAAUCUGGCGUCUUCGACGUCCGAGUUGUAAUUUGAAGAAGGCAACUUUGUAGCUGGUCCUUGUCUAUGUUCCUUGGAACAGGACGUCAUAGAGGGUGAGAAUCCCGUGUGGCGAGGAUCCCAGUUAUUUGUAAAGUGCUUUCGACGAGUCGAGUUGUUUGGGAAUGCAGCUCUAAGUGGGUGGUAAAUUCCAUCUAAAGCUAAAUAUUGGCGAGAGACCGAUAGCGAACAAGUACAGUGAUGGAAAGAUGAAAAGAACUUUGAAAAGAGAGUGAAAAAGUACGUGAAAUUGUUGAAAGGGAAGGGCAUUUGAUCAGACAUGGCGUUUGCUUCGGCUUUCGCUGGGCCAGCAUCAGUUUUAGCGGUUGGAUAAAUCCUCGGGAAUGUGGCUCUGCUUCGGUAGAGUGUUAUAGCCCGUGGGAAUACAGCCAGCUGGGACUGAGGAUUGCGACUUUUGUCAAGGAUGCUGGCGUAAUGGUUAAAUGCCGCCC